AUGUUAUAGUUUCAAUCCAUUUGGGCACUAUAGCACUGAAUGCUGAAGAAAAGCUCCAUUAGAGGUAUGCGAACAAGCCAACUAUGCAGAGAAGGA